rnacentral:misc_RNA from 1 species
GGGAAGGAAGCCCAACACGAUUGAUAUUAGUCUUGCAGAGCGUAAUAACCCCCAAAGCUCGAGAGGCCAUUAAAGAAAGUUUCAAUUUCAAAGUCGAGACUUUCCAUAUUACUGAACUGCUAGUCAAUGUCACCAAACACAUUUUGAAGCCGAGGCAUGACAUUCUGACCGAAAGAGAAAAGCAAGAACUUCUAAAGAAGUACAGUGUGACUGAUAGUCAGCUUCCGCGUAUGCUUGAGUCAGAUGCAAUUGCUCGCUACUUUGGACUUGUGCAUGGACAGGUUCUAAAGAUAACAUAU